rnacentral:rRNA from 1 species
UGGGCCGUAACUGACGCUGAGGAGCGAAAGGGUGGGGAGCAAACAGGCUUAGAUACCCUGGUAGUCCACCCCGUAAACGUUGGGAACUAGUUGUGGGGUCCAUUCCACGGAUUCCGUGACGCAGCUAACGCAUUAAGUUCCCCGCCUGGGGAGUACGGCCGCAAGGCUAAAACUCAAAGGAAUUGACGGGGACCCGCACAAGCGGCGGAGCAUGCGGAUUAAUUCGAUGCAACGCGAAGAACCUUACCAAGGCUUGACAUAUACGAGAACGGGCCAGAAAUGGUCAACUCUUUGGACACUCGUAAACAGGUGGUGCAUGGUUGUCGUCAGCUCGUGUCGUGAGAUGUUGGGUUAAGUCCCGCAACGAGCGCAACCCUCGUUCUAUGUUGCCAGCACGUAAUGGUGGGAACUCAUGGGAUACUGCCGGGGUCAACUCGGAGGAAGGUGGGGAUGACGUCAAAUCAUCAUGCCCCUUAUGUCUUGGGCUUCACGCAUGCUACAAUGGCCGGUACAAAGGGCUGCAAUACCGUGAGGUGGAGCGAAUCCCAAAAAGCCGGUCCCAGUUCGGAUUGAGGUCUGCAACUCGACCUCAUGAAGUCGGAGUCGCUAGUAAUCGCAGAUCAGCAACGCUGCGGUGAAUACGUUCCCGGGUCUUGUACACACCGCCCGUCAAGUCAUGAAAGUCGGUAACACC